UACGGAGGGUGCAAGCGUUAUCCGGAUUCACUGGGUUUAAAGGGUGCGUAGGUGGGCAGUUAAGUCAGUGGUGAAAUCUCCGGGCUUAACCCGGAAACUGCCUUGAUACUAUCUGUCUUGAAUAUCGUGGAGGUAAGCGGAAUAUGUCAUGUAGCGGUGAAAUGCUUAGAUAUGACAUAGAACACCAAUUGCGAAGGCAGCUUACUACCCGAAUAUUGACACUGAGGCACGAAAGCGUGGGGAUCAAACAGG
rnacentral:rRNA from 1 species